AGCUUGAUUCGCUCAGAUUGAACGCUAAGGGAUGUUUAUUACAUGCAAGUCGAACGGCAGCACGGACUUCGGUCUGGGUGGCGAGUGGCGAAUGGGUGAGUAAAUGUAUCGGAAUCGCCUAGUAGCGGGUGAUAACUACGCGAAAGCGUAGCUAAUACCGCAUACAGCCUUCUGGGAAAGCGGGGGACCUUCGGGCCUCGCACUAUUAGAGCGGCUAUCGGAUUAGCUAGUUGGUGGGGUAACGGCUCACCAAGGCGACGAUCUGUAGCUGGUUUGAGAGGACGACCAGCCACACCGGGACUGGAGACACGGCCCAGACUCCUACGGGAGGCAGCAGUGGGGAAUUUUGGACAAUGGGGAAACCCUGAUCCAGCCAUCCCGCGUGUGCGAUGAAGGCCUUCGGGUUGUAAAGCACUUUUGGCAGGAAGAAACGGCACGGGAUAAUACCCCGUGCAACUGACGGUACCUGCAGAAUAAGCACCGGCUAACUACGUGCCAGCAGCCGCGGUAAUACGUAGGGUGCAAGCGUUAAUCGGAAUUACUGGGCGAAGCGUGCGCAGGCGGUUCGGAAAGAAAGAUGUGAAAUCCCAGAGCUUAACUUUUGGAACUGCAUUUUUAACUACCGAGCUAGAGUGUGUCAGAGGGAGGUGGAAUUCCGCGUGUAGCAGUGAAAUGCGUAGAUAUGCGGAGGGAACACCAGAUGGCGAAGGUGAGCCUCUCGGGAUAACACUGACGCUCAUGCACGUGAAAGCGUGGGGAGCAAACAGGAUUAGAUACCCUGGUAGUCCACGCCCUAAACGAUGUCAACUAGCUGUUGGGGCCUUCGCCUUGGUAUGGCAGCUAACGCGUGAAGUUGACCGCCUGGGGAGUACGGUCGCAAGAUUAAAACUCAAAGGAAUUGACGGGGACCCGCACAAGCGGUGGAUGAUGUGGAUUAAUUCGAUGCAACGCGAAAACCUUACCUACCCUUGACAUGUCUGGAAUCCCGAAGAGAUUUGGGAGUGCUCGCAAGAGAACCGGAACACAGGUGCUGCAUGGCUGUCGUCAGCUCGUGUCGUGAGAUGUUGGGUUAAGUCCCCGCAACGAGCGCAACCCUUGAGUCGCUGAAUGCCGCGAAAGGGCACUCUAAUGAGACUGCCGGUGACAAACUGAGGAAGGUGGGAUGAUGCUGUCCUCGCGGCCCUUAUGGGUAGGGCUCUCACGUCAUACAAUGGUCGGGACGCAGGGUCGCCAACCCGCGAGGGGAGCCAAUCCCAGAAACCUGAUCGUAAGUCCGGAUCGCAGUCUGCAACCUGACUGCGGAAGUCGGAAUCACAGUAAUCGCGGAUCAGCAAUGUCGCGGGUGAAUACGUUCCCGGGUCUUGCGGCUAUCACCGCCCGUCACACCAUGGGAGUGGGUUUUACCAGAAGUAGUUAGCCCAACCGUAAGGAGGGCGAUUACCAUUGCAGAUUCACACCGGUGUCGUAACAAGGUAA
rnacentral:rRNA from 1 species